rnacentral:rRNA from 1 species
AUUGAACGCUGGCGGCAUGCCUUACACAUGCAAGUCGAACGGCAGCACGGGAGCAAUCCUGGUGGCGAGUGGCGAACGGGUGAGUAAUAUAUCGGAACGUGCCCAGUCGUGGGGAUAACGUAGCGAAAGCUACGCUAAUACCGCAUACGAUCUAUGGAUGAAAGCGGGGGAUCGCAAGACCUCGCGCGAUUGGAGCGGCCGAUAUCAGAUUAGGUGGUUGGUGAGGUAAAGGCUCACCAAGCCGACGAUCUGUAGCUGGUCUGAGAGGACGACCAGCCACACUGGGACUGAGACACGGCCCAGACUCCUACGGGAGGCAGCAGUGGGGAAUUUUGGACAAUGGGCGCAAGCCUGAUCCAGCAAUGCCGCGUGCAGGAUGAAGGCC